GGGUGAGAGAAGAAACAAUUUGGUCCUUGGAGAUGUUAACAGCAGCUCUAGCUUCAUUUGGAGGGGUGAAGAGAGUAAGUAGUGAAAUGGUGGUUGAUGUUGGUAAUGAUAUGCGUCUAAGUUGAGGUUUUGAGAAAGUGGUGAUUGUGUGAGGUAAGGUAGAAGGAGAUGGAAGAGAAGGUUUUGGUGUUGGUAGUGAAGACAUGGCUGUAAUCUCCAUUGCCAUUGUUAGUUGCUAGUGGUUGGUUUGGUUGAUGAUAGAGGAGUGAAGUGGAGUAGUGUUUAUGUUUGUGUUUAGUGUGAUUAGAGAUGUGUGGUUGAUAUCUAAAGAUUCGACCACUUUUUUUGUUCACCUAUGUAGCAUCUUUGUAUUUGAGGUUUCAACAUCAUCACCAUUCCACGUGGAAUUUUUGUUUUGGAGGAGAAUAUAAUUUGGGAGAUUCUCAUUGGUAGACUGAACUUGAUUUGAAUAUUUAGUAGUGUGAUGUGUGAAUAUCAUUCAUCUUUCUUCAACAGCCAUAAUUUAUGUUUAGUUAAUGGGUAGUAUAGUAAAUUCACAGUAGCCAUGCAAAUAGAUCAGACCACGUACAAAACAUGAAAAGAAAAGGGAGGAAAACAAUUCUGUUCCAAUGCAAACUUCAAUUCUUGUUCUCAAUCUUUCAACUAGGUGAGUUUUCAAUUCAAAUCUUAGAAAUGGUUUUGGGAAUGAGAAAUAGAUGAUGUUGAAAUUGGGAUUUUUAGAGAUUCUUAUGAGUUUAGUAAUUGCAUGUGUAGGAAAAGUGAUGCAUAUUGCUGUUAGUAAUAAGAAUUUCAAAUUCUGAAAGUGAAACAGUGCGUAAUGUAUGCAUGGAGGAACACAAGUUCCAAUUGAGACAGUAGAAAAAAUGAAAGGAAUCAAUUCAAAUCAUAAUGAAAGAAAGAUAAUGAAGUUUAUUUAUCUCAAAUUUAUUUAUUUAAUUUCUUAAAAAAAAAAUUUUAAAAAAAACUUAUUUAUUUAAGUGAAAUAAAAACAUGGGCCAAAAAAAACUUGCAUCCCGAAUUGGGUUUGACUGGGUAACCGAUUUUGUAAAAUUUCUAUAACUUGUCAGGUUUUUGACUUAGGGCCGUUGAUAUUCACUCACAUCACUCCCGAUCACGUUUCUAAAUUCUAAUUUUGGUUCGUUUCUUCUUCUUAAUUGAGAUUUUGUUUAAGAGAAUCUGUGAAAUUGAGUGUCUUGUCAUGUAAUUUUAAACUCUUCAUGACUUUUAUUUUUUGUUGCUUUUUCAAUUCUAGUUGAUAGUUCAAUCUUUUAUGAAAUUUUUGGGGGUUAUGGUUUAAAACCUUUUUUUUUUUGUUACAAUGAUUUAAAACCUUUGAAUUAGGGCUUUUAUUAUUAUUAAAUAUUAAAAUAAAGUAGAUUUGUUUUUAAUUUUUGGCGCUUUUACAAAUUUUGUUCUUUCUUAGUUUUGGAAUUUGAAGGAGCGUCGCUAGCAGCAGUCGAAUCACGCAAGUUCAAAUGGGUAACUCAAAUAAUCUAUUUUAUAUAUUGGUUAACAUGCACUUCAUCCAUCUGUUAUGAUGUACAUUUUGAGUUUAAAACCAUGUGAAGAUAAAAUUCUUGUUGUUUUCCUGUUUUAUGAAAAUGCAACCUCUUGAUUGAGUGUUAAUAUGCACAUGAUUUGGUUAUGUUUUUUUUAUCUUGAUUCAGUCCAUUUCAUUCUCUAUUAUUAUAUCCAAUGCCGUUCUUCUAUUCUGUUAGUUGCUAUUGUUGUUGUGCCUUGUUCCUUUUUUAACUUUCAAUCAACCAUAUUAAAAUAACCUCACCCUUUCAUUUUUUAUUUGAUCAAAACAUUAAACAGAAUUUGCUAAGGAGCAUUGUUUAAAUACAAACAAAAAUGAAGUUGCUAAGAAACAAAAAGUAAGACGCAUAGGGAGAAAGUUUCGUCUGGAGAAUGUUCGUCGUGCAAGAAACAAGAACGAAGUUGCCGCAGAGCGAGAGAAACAGUUUCUUGCUAAUAAUAAAAAAAGAGCAAGUAAGUUUUACUCAAUGCUGUAAUGAUGUAUUGAUAUGUUCUUUGCAGUUAUAUUAAUUUGGGUUAACAUGUACUUCGUCCAUCUGUUAUGAUUUACAUCUUGACUUUAAAACUAUGUGAACAUACAAUUAUUUUUGCUUUCCUGUUUUUAUGAAAAUGCAAGUUCUUGAUUGAGUGUUAAUAUACACAUAUGUUUAUCUUGCCAUUGUUGCCAGGCUUGGGAAAUUCAGCCCAUUUCAUUCUCUAUUAUCUCCUAUGGCUGUUGUGUGUUGUCUUUUUUUUAUAAGCGUUAGCGCAAUAAGAAGAGUGGAACGGGCCGGUCUCUUCUAGCUUAACCAAGUAGGUCCUGGGUUCGAAUCCAGCCUUGGGCAUGCAGCAGUGUUAAAACUCUUAGGGAGAGCCUGCCGCCCAUUUGGGUCCCACAAUGCUCGAAGAAUUAGUCUCCGUAGUUGCGCGUGGAGGAUACCCGAUUUACACCAAAAAAAAAAAAAAAAAGUGGAACACUCCGCACCCGUACGCUAAUCUAUACACCUUAUGUUCUUUUUCCUUUUUAAGUGUCAUUUUGCAAUAUUAACAUUGUAUUUUUGUACCUUUACUUUCUAUUAUACUCUUAUUUUAAUCCACCAAUAUAUUCAUAUUUUUUUCACACACUUUCUCUUUCCAAUAAAUUGAGUAUAUUAUCUUUUUUCGUAAGUCUCUCUCAUAACAAACAAUUGUUAAUUUUGAGAUAACAAGAAACAAAUUUUGUUUUUUAAAAAAAACUUUAGUUUACCAUAUAUAUAUAGUUUUAAUUAGUUUGAUUGAAAAAGAUAAGAGUAAUUAACAAAUGAUGUAAUCGACAAAUCGUACUUUUAAAAUUUCAAAAGAUUAUUAAAUAGAAAAGCUAAAUCCGCAUUCAAACGACACUUAAAAAAGAACGAACGUAAACAUAAUUAUCAAUAUUUGAAAGAAGCAAAAUUUCAUGAAAUAGCAAAUUUUUUCUAUGACGAUGCUAUAUUGAUGGUGUUUUAAAAUCAAUAACAAAAAUAAGAAUUUUUUGUUAUACUUGUUAUAUUAUUAUUGUAAAAAGAUAAAUAUAAUUCGUUGAGUUUGUUACAUUUUUUUGAAAGUUAUAAAUAUCUAUUCUUAUAAUUUUUAAUCUAUAUAAAAAAAAUUAUUUAAAAUGUAUUCCAUUAUUUUCUCCAGCAGCCGAUCGAAUUGUUUUCUGUUGCAAACAUAAAUUAUUCAGAUUGCAUAGUUUUCGGAAACUAUAACAUUUGUUACAAAAACAAAUUUACAUAUAAGAAAUUAAAAUAGAUUUACGGUACCUAAAAAAAUCAAUUUAGGUUUGCUCUCUUCCCUUCCCAUCCCAGGUUCGUUUGAGUGUAGCAAGAUGGCAAAAUUGAUCACUGUGUUAUCAAUAUUUCUAAUUGUAUUGAUAUCCAAAUGCAAUUCCUUGAUGCCAUUUUCAACUAUACAUUGUAAAUCAAUUAUAACUGAUAUGAUGGGGGAGUGUAAACCAUAUUACAUGGACCAAAAUUCACAACCAUAUGAUUCAUGUUGUUCUGCAUUUCUUACGGUUGCAUUUGUGAUAUUAAAUUGGAAGAAAUCGACAAUUUACCUUUCGAUGCCACAAACACGGCCAACUUGCUUACUCUUAGUGGAGUAUCCCUCUCCUGUCAAGGUAAAUAAUUAACUCUUAACUCUUUUAUCUUUUCUUGUUUUAUGUAUUGAUAAUUAUGUUUACAUUGUUUGAUGCUAAUAAGGUUAGUACCACUGCUCCAUCCCUCGGUACGUAAACUAUGCUUUUCUUUUAUUAGGUAUAGGGAGACACCAACCAUUUAUCUCUCGUCACUUAUAUGAACAUUUUCAAUUGUAUUUUUAUUUGUUGUCACGCCAACAUUAAUAUUUAGCUUAUAUUUGAAUUAAUCACAUCAAAAGAAAUCAAUCAAUAUAGUGUUGAAAAAGUUGAAAGGAACCUGAGUUUGAUUCCUAGAGUCACCUAUUUAAGAGAUAGUCUACUUGUGAAAAAAGAGUUAGCCAAUAUUAACUUAGUAUUAGUUGAUCCGUUUGGACCUUAGGAGAUGAUUGAUUGAUUGAGAUCUGUUGUGAAGAGCGGUUGAGCUUUAGUUCUUUUGAUGCGUGUCCUUCUCCCCUGGUCUCGGUGUACCUACAUGUUCUCCGAAGCCCAAAUCAAUAAGGAGUUCAAGAAAGUAUGUGGCUAUAUCAUGGGUAAGAAAUAUCAUACCUGACCCAAGGAUUGAGCAAGGGUAUAUAUAGUGGAUACGUAUGAUUUUAACUCAUAGUCCUUUAUCUAUAUAGCUGUCCUUAAGGGGAUGUGAGUGACAAUCAGAGUGGUCUGCUGCAUAAGAUUCAGAAUAGGAGGUGAGGAACUCUCGAUUUAGACCAUAAUCCAAUAGGAUUUAGGGCAUGUCCAUCGUAUCGUGUCACUUGCUAUUGGGGCUCAGGUCGGAACUGAUCCCAAUCGAAUUGAAUCUUGGGUCACCCCAAAACAUUAGUCUUAUAAAGGAUCCAAAAGUCUAAGCUCCAAACAAAUUUCAUCUUUCUUGAAAGCAUGUAAAUCACUUUAAAACUGAUCAUGAUUUCAACAGAGUCAAAGUUGGAAAUAGUUGUUGUAUUCAAUUAAUAGUUUUAAUGAAUUUAUGUUUGUUAUGUGAUAUUGUAGUUGAUGCUCCUAAACUAUAUGCUUUAGAGAGUUUGGUUUCCAGUUUGGCUCCUAAAAGUGCAAGUUCAUCACAGCCCCCUCCACAACAGAGUUCAAAGUCACUUUCAAGUUAUGCUCCAAAUUCUCCAUUGUUACUGACAGCACCAGCACCAAUGCAAGAGGCAAAUGACAAUGAUGUGCCAGCUCCUCCAUCACCAAAUCAAGCGCCAAUACACGUGCCAGAUGACGGUUCAAUCCAUUUUUUUCUAUUGUUAAUUUUCUUGGCGUCGGUUUUUGUGAUAUUUAGCUUGAUUAAAGUUAAUGCAGAUGCUUAUGCACAAUGAACAAAUACGACAUAGAGACGGACAUGUCGACACCAAAUGGUUGUGAAGGCUUUCAAUCAUGCUGUUGGUAUUCCUUGGAGAAUGCAAGCUAGAUGGCAAAAUUGUUUGCAAAUUUGCACCCAUAUCACUUGUAAAUGCACUCACAUUCUUAGAGAGGGAAACUUAGUAGCUGAUUCCUUAGCUAAAAAUGCACAAAAUCAUGCUAUGUUCUCCUCUCAGUGGUGGGAGCUUCCUCCCACUUUUGUGCAGUCUUUGCUUUUUAGAGAUAGUUUAAGUUUGCCUUUUUCUAGAAUUUCUAUGGACUAAUCUUUGUUAUAGGUUCAGGCCUCUCCUGUUUUUUUAAUAAAUUUCCCUGCUUGAUCAAAAAAAAAAAUAUAUCAACCCAAAUCUCUCCAAAGGCAUGUGACAGUAUAAACAUUUAGUAGUACAAUGGAAAGUGAUGGUGUAAAAAUGGACCUCAAACCAACACUCACCGUCAUAAUUGCUUUCUAUCCACUGGCGACCAUAUAAAACCAAAGACAUAAAAGAGCUUGUGUAUGGAAUUUGGAUCCCAAAUGUUUAUUAAGUACAUUAUAGCUCAAAUAAGACUCUAAUUCAACAUUACAAAAACAUUACAUUCCCCUAAAUGUGUUAACUAACAUUGCCAUGACACAGAUAAAUGUUACCAAAACAAAUGUCAUUAUCAACCCGGAUAUAAUUGGUCUCAAAUAACAGAGGAAGAGUAUGUUUGAAUUGAUUUAUUUGAGCUUAUGUACUAGUAUAAAAACUUGUGAGAUUGUCUGAAAGAGUUUAUAAACAGAACUUAUGACAUGUUGAUAAGUUGUUUUCAACUUAUAUUCAUAAGCUCUUCGGGAUAACUUAUGAAAACAACUUACUUGUAUAAAAACAGUUUGGCUUUAUUUUUUCUUUUGUUCUAGAAAUAGCUUACACAUAAACACUUAUAUAAUUAUCGCUUAUACUAUAAGUGCUUAACUAAAUUGAUUAUCCAAACGGUCCCAAUCCCAAAAAUCAAUGAAUUAAGCAAACCUUAGCAGCAGUUUGUGUAUCAAGACCAAAGCUCUGAAGUGCUUCUUGGACGCCUCAGAGAAAGCUGGAGAAGCAAAUUUCAAGGCCUCUUGUCCAGCCUGCUGCACAAUUGGCAACGUCGUAUCGAAGCCAGGCUUCAAAGCACUCCCUACAGCUUCAGAAACAUGUUGUGCUGAGUCCAAAAAACCAGAACCAACCACCUGAACCUGAUCAAUAGUCUGCUCCACCUAAAUAAAAUAAAAAAUGCAUUUCUAGUUAAAGGGCAUGAAUGUAAAAUUGAAGGAAGUUGGUAAAGUUUGAAACUUUGGAAGAAAAACUUUACUUGGGUGAGAGAAGAAACAAUUUGGUCCUUGGAGAUGUUGACAGCAGCUCUAGCUUCAUUUGGAGGGAUGAAGAGAGUAAGUAGUGAAAUGGUGGUUGAUGUUGGUAACGAUAUGCGUCUAAGUUGAGGUUUUGAGAAGGUGGUGAUUGUGUGAGGUAAGGUAGAAGGAGAUGGAAGAGAAGGUUUUGGUGUUGGUAGUGAAGCCAUAGCUGCAAUCUCCAUCGCCAUUGUUGGAAGAGUGAAGUGGAGUAGUGUUUGUGUUUGUGUUUGUAGUGUGAUUAGAGAUGUGUUGCCA
rnacentral:lncRNA from 1 species